UACGGAGGGAGCUAGCGUUGUUCGGAAUUACUGGGCGUAAAGCGCACGUAGGCGGCUUUGUAAGUUAGAGGUGAAAGCCCGGGGCUCAACCCCGGAAUUGCCUUUAAGACUGCAUCGCUUGAAUCCGGGAGAGGUGAGUGGAAUUCCGAGUGUAGAGGUGAAAUUCGUAGAUAUUGGGAAGAACACCGGUGGCGAAGGCGGCGACCUGGUCCGAUACUGACGCUGAGGCGCGAAAGCGUGGGGAGCAAACAGG
rnacentral:rRNA from 1 species